rnacentral:rRNA from 1 species
GAUCAUGGCUCAGGACGAACGCUGGCGGCGUGCCUAAUACAUGCAAGUUGAACGCUGAAGACUGGUACUUGUACCAGUUGGAUGAGUAGCGAACGGGUGAGUAACGCGUGGGUAACCUACCUCUUAGCGGGGGACAACGUAUUGGAAACGAUAGCUAAUACCGCAUAACAAUACUUAACACAUGUUAAGUAUUUGAAAGCACCAAUUGGGUGCACUAAGAGAUGGACCCGCGUUGUAUUAGCUAGUUGGUAG